GAUGAACGCUGGCGGCGUGCCUAAUACAUGCAAGUCGAGCGAACGGACGAGAAGCUUGCUUCUCUGAUGUUAGCGGCGGACGGGUGAGUAACACGUGGAUAACCUACCUAUAAGACUGGGAUAACUUCGGGAAACCGGAGCUAAUACCGGAUAAUAUUUUGAACCGCAUGGUUCAAAAGUGAAAGACGGUCUUGCUGUCACUUAUAGAUGGAUCCGCGCUGCAUUAGCUAGUUGGUAAGGUAACGGCUUACCAAGGCAACGAUGCAUAGCCGACCUGAGAGGGUGAUCGGCCACACUGGAACUGAGACACGGUCCAGACUCCUACGGGAGGCAGCAGUAGGGAAUCGUCCGCAAUGGGCGAAAACCGGACGGAGCAACGCCGCGUGAGUGAUGAAGGUCUUCGGAUCGUAAAACUCUGUUAGUAGGGAAGAACAUAUGUGUAAUUAACUGUGCACAUCUUGACGGUACCUAAUCAGAAAGCCACGGCUAACUACGUG
rnacentral:rRNA from 1 species